rnacentral:misc_RNA from 1 species
GUGCAAGACUUCAAGAAUGGCACAAAAUUCUUAGGAAGGAGAAGAUGGCAGAACAAUUAGAUUCAGUAAAUGCGAGGUAUGUGGUUGAAUUUGACAUGAAGGAAGUUGAGAACAGCCUUCGCAAAGAUGUUGUUGAGAAGACAAGAGAAACUCAAGGAACCAGGGCAUUGUGGAUCUCGAAAAGAUGGUGGAGAUAUCGCCCGAAACUUCCCUAUACCUAUUUUCUUCAAAAACUUGAUACUUCUGAGGUGGCUGCUAUAGUCUUCACAGAGGAUCUGAAGAGAGUGUUUGUCACAAUGAAAGAAGGAUUCCCUCUUGAAUAUAUUGUUGAUAUUCCACUAGAUCCUUUCUUAUUUGAGAUGAUAUCAAGUUCUGGAGCUGAAGUAGAUCUACU